rnacentral:ncRNA from 1 species
GAUUGCGGUCGGCGCUUAAUAGGGAAGACCGGUGUAAAUCCGGCGCAGUCCCGCUACUGUAAAGGGAAGUUCACUGCAAUAUGCCACUGGGAAACUGGGAAGGCGCAGCUGAAUGUUGAACCUGAGCCAGGAGACCUGCCUGUUACG